CACAUUCACUCCAUUUCCCGUCAUGCUUACUUGCAACUAGUACAUCAAAUAACAAGAAGAAAUUAAAGAGCCAGAACUCUAAAGAUAAGUAAAUAUAAUUUGCAUUAAUAAUACCUCAGAAUCAUGAAUAGGCACCAAUAACUACAUAACAUUCUUCUUAUUUGAGUUUUGAUAGAUAACUUUACAGUUUUUGCAUCUAGAAGAAACGAAUGAUGUGUACAUCUUAACGUCUGUAGUUUUCUGGAUGUGCAUCUUAUUGCAGUAUUCAAAUGUUCACAGCUCCAUCUGAAGUUUUUUCAUUUGCCAUGUACACUCUCUGAGCUUAUUCACUUCGUAUUUCACAGAGCUAUAUGAAGGCAGAUUGUAGCUGCUAAUUUUGGCGACAAGGUUCUGAUCCAGUAAAAUAUCGGUUAUCUUCAAAUUAUUCGAAAAGAGGCCAGGGAUAAUUCCAUUAUGCAAGAACUGUAGGCCCUUUGCUACCCCUGUAGCAGCUGCUAUACGUUGUGUCCAGAUAUGUGAUGGAUGACAAAGAUAGCAACGACGGAGGAAAUGGCCCCAUAAAGUUGUUGGAAGAAAUAUCAAAAUGUUCAAGCUGAUAAUAGGACUGAACUUUCUCUGAUCAGGGACAUCACCACUAAAAUUAUUCUUCGAAAGUGAAAGUACACGAAGAUUAUUCAAAUCACGCAGUGUAUCUGGCAAAGGUCCAUCUAAUGAAUUGCUCUUCAAACUCAAAACUGCCAAAACUGAAAGUGAACCAAGGCCAUCUGGAAUUCCGCCAGUCAACCUAUUUCCAUCUAACACUAAAGUUUGGAGGUCCGUUAAGGAUGAAACUGUUUCAGGCAACGGCCCCCAUAAACCAAGAGAAACUAAUCUAAGGACUUUCAAGCUAGGAAGCUUGGCAAGCGCGUUGAGAAAUGAACGAAUGGAGAACUUUCUAGAAAUCUGUCUCAUUAUUCCAACUACUCAAAGCUGUUGGAUAGUUCAAAAGAUGUUGAAUUCUCAAUAGUGUUUGCACUUGAGAUGAUUGUAAUUGCUCUGAAUAUCUGAUUGAGAUUAGUACCAAAAACAAAACCAGAAGCUUUUCAACUCCCAUUUCUUUUCCCAUCACCACAAUACUGGCUCAACAACUCUUAUGAUAAAUGAAAAUUUU